rnacentral:rRNA from 1 species
UUUUAAUUCAACAUCGAGGUCGCAAGCUUAACUAUUAAUAAGAACUCUUCAAUUAUAUUACGCUGUUAUCCCUAGAGUAACUAUAUAAACAUUAUAUUCUUAAUUAAAAAUCUUAUCUUCAACUAUUACCCCAACAAAAAAGUUAAUAACUUUAAAAGCUUCUAGGGUCUUCUCGUCCCAAAGAUCCACAAUAGCAUUUUUACUACUAAUUAAACUUCAAAGUACUUUUAUAAAACUUUCCUCUCAGAUUCUAUCUUUCAUUCCAGCCUUCAAUAAAAAAG